AGAGUUUGAUCAUGGCUCAGGAUGAACGCUAGCGGCAGGCUUAACACAUGCAAGUCGUGGGGCAGCGCGAGGUAGCAAUACUUUGGCGGCGACCGGCAAACGGGUGCGUAACACGUACGCAAUCUACCCUUAAUUGGAGAAUAGCCCAGAGAAAUUUGGAUUAAUACUCCGUAACAUGUUGAGAAGGCAUCUUCUUAAUAUUAUAGCUCCGGCGAUUAGGGAUGAGCGUGCGGCUGAUUAGGUAGUUGGUAGGGUAACGGCCUACCAAGCCAACGAUCAGUAGCCGAUGUGAGAGCAUGAUCGGCCACACGGGCACUGAGACACGGGCCCGACUCCUACGGGAGGCAGCAGUGAGGAAUAUUGGUCAAUGGACGCAAGUCUGAACCAGCCAUGCCGCGUGAAGGAUGAAGGUCCUCUGGAUUGUAAACUUCUUUUCUCUGGGGCGAAAAAAGGGAAUUCUUUCCCACUUGACAGUACCAGAGGAAUAAGCACCGGCUAACUCCGUGCCAGCAGCCGCGGUAAUACGGAGGGUGCAAGCGUUAUCCGGAUUCACUGGGUUUAAAGGGUGCGUAGGUGGGCAGGUAAGUCCGUGGUGAAAUCCUAUAGCUUAACUAUAGAACUGCCAUGGAUACUAUUUGUCUUGAAUGUUGUGGAGGUAAGCGGAAUAUGUCAUGUAGCGGUGAAAUGCUUAGAUAUGACAUAGAACACCUAUUGCGAAGGCAGCUUACUACGCAAAUAUUGACACUGAGGCACGAAAGCGUGGGUAGCAAACAGGAUUAGAUACCCUAGUAGUCC
rnacentral:rRNA from 1 species